CCUACGGGAGGCAGCAGUGAGGAAUAUUGGUCAAUGGGCGCGAGCCUGAACCAGCCAAGUAGCGUGAAGGAUGACUGCCCUACGGGUUGUAAACUUCUUUUAUAAAGGAAUAAAGUGAGGCACGUGUACCUUUUUGUAUGUACUUUAUGAAUAAGGAUAGGCGAAGCCCGUGCCAGCAGCCGCGGUAAUACGGAGGAUCCGAGCGUUAUCCGGAUUUAGUGGGUUUAAAGGGAGCGUAGAUGGGAUGUUAAGUCAGUUGUGAAAGUUUGCGGCUCAACCGAAAAAUUGCAAUUGAUACUGGCAAUCUUGAGUACAGUUGAGGUAGGCGGAAUUCGUGGUGUAGCGGUGAAAUGCUUAGAUAUCACGAAGAACUCCGAUUGCGAAGGCAGCUUACUAGACUGCCACUGACAUUGAUGCUCGAAAGUGUGGGUAUCAAACAGGAUUAGAUACCCUGGUAGUC
rnacentral:rRNA from 1 species